AAUCUACCUAGUAGUACGGAAUAAUUGUUGGAAACGRCAACUAAURCCGUAUACGCCCUAYGGGGGAAARAUUUAUUGCUAUUAGAUGAGCCUAUAUUAGAUUAGCUAGUUGGUGRGGUAAWRGCYURCCAAGGCAAUGAUCUAUAGCUGAUCUGAGAGGAUGRUCAGCCACACUGGAACUGAGAUACGGUCCAGACUYCUACGGGAGGCAGCAGUGGGGAAUAUUGGACAAUGGGCGAAAGCCUGAUCCAGCYAUGCCGCAUGAGUGAAGAAGGCCUUUGGGUUGUAAAGCUCUUUYAGUGAGGAAGAUAAUGACGGUACUCACAGAAGAAGUCCUGGCUAACUCCGUGCCAGCAGCCGCGGUAAUACGGAGAGGGCUAGCGUUAUUCGGAANNAUUGGGCGUAAAGRGCGCGUAGGCUGGUUARUAAGUUAAAAGUGAAAUCCCAAGGCUCAACUUUGGAAUUGCUUUUAAAACUGCUAAUCUAGAGAUUGAAAGAGGAUAGAGGAAUUCCUAGUGUAGAGG
rnacentral:rRNA from 1 species